rnacentral:lncRNA from 12 species
UGGUGGUGUUCAAAGGUUGGACUCGAUGAUCUCAGAGAUCUUUUCCAACCUAAUUGAUUCUGAAAUUCUCUGAUUCCUUUUUGUAGGCAACUACUCUGAAAAAAAACUAUGGAAAUACAUCUUGAAGGAAUUCUGUGAUAAAAGGAACUAUCUUCCAAGUAGUCAGUCUUGGCUAACGGGAGGAAAUCAAGAGCUUACUUUGCAAGGCAACCCCAUGUGUGAUCCUGCCUGAUUUACAAGAGAAGAUACACAGCAG